ensembl:lncRNA
CUGGCUCAUGAAGAUGCUUGCCACUGGGCCAGGUUCUAACGGAUAAAACCUCACAGAGAAGAAAAGGAGCAGGCUGAAGAUGAAUUAAAUUGAGCCUGGAAGCACAGACCCUUCCUUGCUCGGCCCGUGCCUCAUCUGGACAGAAUUGCAGGCUUAUCCUCUCCCACCUGAUGGAUAAUUUCCUGCACGACACAUUGCAAGACAAUCUGGCUAAAAUUUCCAACAAGCCUCUAUGGAUUGGAACAGGAAGCAUGAAGCAGGAAAAUAGAAGAGUUGACCAUCAUUUAAACGGU